rnacentral:rRNA from 1 species
GACGAACGCUGGCGGCGUGCCUAAUACAUGCAAGUAGGACGCAGUUGCGAACGUGUGAGUAACGCGUAGGAACCUACCUAUUAGAGGGGGCUAACUACUGGAAAUGAUAGCUAAUACCGCAUACUAGUAGAUUUACCUGCGUUGUAUUAGCUAGUAGGUGGGGUAAAGGCCUACCAAGGCGACGAUCCGUAACUGGUCUGAGAGGAUGAUCAGCAACACUGGGACUGAGACACGGUCCAGACUCCUACGGGAGGCAGCAGUGGGGAAUAUUGGACAAUGGGCGAAAGCCUGAUGCAGCCAUGCCGCGUGUGUGAAGAAGGUCUUCGGAUUGUAAAGCACUUUAAGUUGGGAGGCGUUACCAACAGAAUAAGCACCGGCUAACUUCGUGCCAGCAGCCGCGGUAAUAC